GGGCGUAUAUAUCAGUGGUAGAUAGCUCGUUUUGCAUUGUCGUGCCUAUCGGCGCAGCGGUCUCUACGAGAAGUCCAGGGUUCAAUCCCCUGUGUGUCCA